rnacentral:rRNA from 1 species
ACGGGAGUUUUUAACUCAAGUGGCGGACGGGUGAGUAACACGUAAGAAUUUACCUUUAGGAGGGGGAUAACAACUGGAAACGGUUGCUAAUACCCCAUAUGCUUUCGAGUGAAAUGGAUUUUUCCGCCUAAAGAGGAGCUUGCGGCUGAUUAGCUUGUUGGUGAGGUAAUGGCUCACCAAGGCGACGAUCAGUAUCUGGUUUGAGAGGACGAUCAGACACACUGGAACUGAGACACGGUCCAGACUCCUACGGGAGGCAGCAGUGGGGAAUUUUCCGCAAUGGGCGAAAGCCUGACGGAGCAAUACCGCGUGAGGGAUGACGGCCUAUGGGUUGUAAACCUCUUUUUUCAGGGAGGAAUCAAUGACGUGUACCUGAAGAAUAAGCAUCGGCUAACUCCGUGCCAGCAGCCGCGGUAAGACGGAGGAUGCAAGUGUUAUCCGGAAUCACUGGGCGUAAAGCGUCUGUAGGUGGUCUAGUAAGUCAACUGUUAAAUCUUGAGGCUCAACUUCAAAAUCGCAGUCGAAACUAUUAGACUAGAGUAUAGUAGGGGUAAAGGGAAUUUCCAGUGGAGCGGUGAAAUGCGUAGAGAUUGGAAAGAACACCGAUGGCGAAGGCACUUUACUGGGCUAUUACUGACACUGAGAGACGAAAGCUAGGGUAGCAAAUGGGAUUAGAUACCCCAGUAGUCCUAGCCGUAAACAAUGGAUACUAGAUGUUGAACAGAUCGACCUGUGCAGU